GGGGUGCCCGCCGGCGUACCAAAACUCUUUUGUAUUUUAGUGGCCUCUCUGAGAAAACAAGCAAAUAAGUUAAAACUUUCAACAACGGAUCUCUUGGUUCUGGCAUCGAUGAAGAACGCAGCGAAAUGCGAUAAGUAAUGUGAAUUGCAGAAUUCAGUGAAUCAUCGAAUCUUUGAACGCACAUUGCGCCCGCCAGUACUCUGGCGGGCAUGCCUGUUCGAGCGUCAUUUCAACCCUCAAGCCCUGCUUGGUGUUGGGGUCCUACGGCUGCCGUAGGCCCUGAAAGCUAGUGGCGGGCUCGCUAUAACUCCGAGCGUAGUAGUAAAAUAUCUCGCUAGGGAGGUGUCGCGGGUUCCGGCCGUGAAAGCCCAUCUUUUACACAAGGUUGACCUCGGAUCAGGUAGGAAUACCCGCUGAACUUAAGCAUAUCAAUAAGCGGAGGAAAAGAAACCAACAGGGAUUGCCCCAGUAACGGCGAGUGAAGCGGCAACAGCUCAAAUUUGAAAUCUGGCUUCGGCCCGAGUUGUAAUUUGUAGAGGAUGCUUUUGGUGAGGUGCCUUCUGAGUUCCCUGGAACGGGACGCCAGAGAGGGUGAGAGCCCCGUAUAGUUGGACACCGAGCCUCUGUAAAGCUCCUUCGACGAGUCGAGUAGUUUGGGAAUGCUGCUCAAAAUGGGAGGUAUAUCUCUUCUAAAGCUAAAUACUGGCCAGAGACCGAUAGCGCACAAGUAGAGUGAUCGAAAGAUGAAAAGCACUUUGAAAAGAGGGUUAAAUAGUACGUGAAAUUGUUGAAAGGGAAGCGCUUGUGACCAGACUUGUGCCCGGCUGAUCAUCCAGUGUUCUCACUGGUGCACUCUGCCGGGCUCAGGCCA
rnacentral:rRNA from 1 species